AAGCUUAGAGAGAGGGUCUGUUCGACCUUUUAAGUUCUACAUGAUCUGAGUUUA
rnacentral:tRNA from 1 species